GACGAACGCUGGCGGCGUGCUUAACACAUGCAAGUCGAACGGAAAGGCCUGCUUUCCCUUGUGGAUUGCGGGUGCUCGAGUGGCGAACGGGUGAGUAACACGUGAGUGAUCUGCCCCCAACUUGGGUAUAAGCCUGGGAAACUGGGUCUAAUUCCCGAUAGGACUGCAGGGUGGUGCCUGUGGUGGAAAACGAUUUUCUAGUGGUUGGGGAUGAGCUCGCGGCCUAUCAGCUUGUUGGUGGGGUAAUGGCCUACCAAGGCGGCGACGGGUAGCCGGCCUGAGAGGGUGGACGGCCACAUUGGGACUGGGAUACGGCCCAGACGCCUACGGGAGGCAGCAGUGGGGAAUAUUGCACAAUGGGCGGAAGCCUGAUGCAGCGACGCCGCGUGGGGGAUGACGGCCUUCGGGUUGUAAACUCCUUUCGACCGCGAGGAAGCCACCUGGUUGGAAGGGUGGUGACGGUAGUGGUAGAAGAAGCACCGGCUAACUACGUG
rnacentral:rRNA from 1 species